AUGCUGCUCGGGCGUGGGCUGGCCGACUCGAUCUCCUCGACCCAGGGCCCCGUGCUCGUCAGCGCCUGCCCCAUCGCGCACAACUUCUCUGAUCCAGCGCCAAAUUCCGAGGACCAUGCGGAGCUCGACCUGGAGGCACUCCACCUAAUGGGAGGGCAGCACCAAGAACGGCAACAGCAGUAUGGGCUUGCUGCCAGCAAGAUGGUGGAAGGAGGCAAUCCAAACUUUGUCAGUGAAGUUCCAGUUGAGGAAAGAACAGAGAGAGGAAAGACAACAAAGGGAAUUUGGUUAAAGCGAAAAACAGUUUCGUGUAAAACUCUCCACCCAGUCUCCCAGCUCAGCUCAGCAGUUGAUUCAAGGGCGAUAAUCCGCAGGCAUUUCGGCGAAUGA
rnacentral:rRNA from 1 species